AGUGAACGCUGGCGGUAGGCCUAACACAUGCAAGUCGAACGGCAGCACAGUAAGAGCUUGCUCUUACGGGUGGCGAGUGGCGGACGGGUGAGGAAUACAUCGGAAUCUACUUUUUCGUGGGGGAUAACGUAGGGAAACUUACGCUAAUACCGCAUACGACCUACGGGUGAAAGCAUGGGAUCUUCGGACCUUGCGCGAUUGAAUGAGCCGAUGUCGGAUUAGCUAGUUGGCGGGGUAAAGACCCACCAAGGCGACGAUCCGUAGCUGGUCUGAGAGGGUGAUCAGCCACACAGGAAGUGAGAGACGGUCCAGACACCUACGGGAGGCAGGAGUGGGGAAUAUAGGACAGUGGGCGGAAGCAUGAUCCAGCCAUACCGGGUGGGUGAAGAAGGCCUGCGGGUUGUAAAGCCAUUUUGUUGGGAAAGAAAAGCAGCAGGUUAAUACCCCGCUGUUCUGACGGUACCCAAAGAAUAAGCACCGGCUAACUUCGU
rnacentral:rRNA from 1 species